ensembl:lincRNA
UAGGAGAGGGCGGGUCCGGAGGCCUCGCAGGUUAUGUACAUUCCAUGCAGGGCGGGUCCCGACAAGUAUGCAUAUUCUGAGGGGGCGUGUCUUGAGCCCGGUGGAUCAUGCAUAUUCUAUGAGAGGGCGGAUCCGGGAGCGCCAUGGAUAAUGCAUAUUCUAUGAAGGGAGGGUCUCGAGGACUAAAAGUUAUGCAUAUUCCAUUAGGGGAGGGUCCCGAGGCCCGCGGAUAAUGCAUAUUCUAUAAGGGGCGGGCCCCGAGGUGCCUGCCUGCUUUGCCCCUUGCCUAGCCACCUCUGCGCCUCCUCACCCAGCCCACGGAGCCCGCGGCCUGAGGACAGAGCUGCUGCGUCCCCAGGGAACGCUGUGGGCCGGAUGGGGCCUGGUGUCUGUCCCUUAGCUUCCUGAAGACCGAGGAGGGAGCCCGAGCCUCCCUCCCGGGAAGUUAGAUGAAGAGGGGACGAGGAGGAAGGCGGCAGGGCACCCAGGCGUUAGCACCCCGGGCGUAAGGACGCACCGACUAGGAAGGCGCUUCUGGUUAGUAAUCGGAGCUGGCACCAGGCCUAACCUUGUCCACGGAGUGAUUUAUUCAUACUUGCAGUGAACCUAAGGGCAGGAACUCGUCCUUAAGGGCCAAGAGAGCCGAGUGAGGGGGUCCAGGGAGGCCUCAGCACGCUGCUCCAAAUGGCAAACACACCACUCGGGGACAGAAAAGCGCUCUCCUUCCUCGGCGACGAAACACUUCCCGGAAAGUGCAAAGCCAGCCCUAGUCCAGGAUCAGGUAGGACUCGAGGUAUCUCUACAGAAGUCUUUUCGGCAGUGCUGAGGAGCGAACCUAGGGCCUCCUGCACGCUGGGCAAGGGCUCCACCACUGAGCGCAUCCUUAGCCCCCAGGCGGCUGCUUUUUAAACUAGAAUCUGGCCUUUUGCUAUUGUAGUCUGGGAAGCUGACCCUCUUUUGGGGGUUCUAGAAUCCUAGAUGGCUGACUUGGGGCCGCAGAGGAAGCUGCUGGGAACUCGGAGAGCCGGGCUGCCUCUGCGCUGCGAGCAUCUGUUGCCAGGCAACCGCGGCACAACACCACCGCUCUCCCGCAACGCGCAUCCGGCGGCUGGCACCCGGGCUCGCCUUGAGCAGCGCCGGCCAGCAGAGGGCGCAGGCCGACAGGACCGGAACGUCCCGGCCCCAAAGCUGCCGGCGAGGGCCAUGUUCCAGGAGAACAUAAAAGGCACAAAAUCGAACCGGACCCCAGGGAGCCCGGCACCUGACUCCGUCCAUGCUGGACUUCAGCCUCCCCUGCAGACAGCGUUCUUCUGUUCACAGCGAGUCACCGGACAGUGAGCCGCUGGGCAAGCUGGGCCUCCGCACCCACAUUCACAAGUUCGUCCUCUGCAGCUGCUGCCGUCCACAGAGAUGGCUCACAGCAAGGGUAAGAGAGCCACGAGAGCGAUUUCUUCUGUUCCUCAUCAGCUGGGGCAGUGAGACCAGUCACAGGCUGAGCAUCCCUAUCCAGAAACCCCAAGCUGGAGAUGCGUCACCAUCUGCCGCUUUCUGAGUGCUGAGCUGAUGCCAUGAGUGGAAAGUCCCAAGCCUCAGCUCAGGGGACCGAUCACAGUCAAGACACAGGACAUGGAGAGUGCGUACAGUGACCUCGGGAGACAGCGUGGGAUGUGAGGAGGAGGCGCCCGGGUUGCUGAGAUGCCCUCAGGGUGGGACAGACCUGCCCGCGAACACAGCACGGAGGAGGCACAGCCCAGGGUGGACAGUGCGGAAGGAAUACGGAAACGAGGAAACAGACUGCACCUUCUGUGAGGUGCCCGACCCCAGCACUGGGCCCAGGGAAGAGGUCAGCAGGGGGCCACCACGCGGUGCUCGGCCCAGCCGCCGCUCACCUCAGUGCCCGCUGAGGCCAGCUGUUCUGGGGGGACCAAGGACCGGGCGGCGGACCCCUAGUACCGACUGUCGCCCCAGUUACUGGGGCUGUGCCUUGUCCCUUCUGAUCCUGGACUGUGCGGAAAUCAAUGGGGAGGGGCACAGUGAGCUUCGGGGCCCAGGCGGGUCGUGGGCUUGGAGCUCAAGGCUGAGACCCGGGGGAGAGGGACAGACGCCUGCCACCGUCCCUGAGAGGCUACUGGACAUGCAGCAGCAGAAACAAACCGCGCCGGGGCUUUCAUCCUGACCAACAGAGCAGGACCACUGUCCUCUUCCUAAUUAAAAAAAAAAUGUUUUCCUCAUU